rnacentral:rRNA from 1 species
AUUGAACGCUGGCGGCAGGCCUAACACAUGCAAGUCGAACGAGUGGCGGACGGGUGAGUAAUGUCUGGGAAACUGCCUGAUGGAGGGGGAUAACUACUGGAAACGGUAGCUAAUACCGCAUACCAUCGGAUGUGCCCAGUUGGGAUUAGCUAGUGGGUGGGGUAAAGGCUCACCUAGGCGACGAUCCCUAGCUGGUCUGAGAGGAGGACCAGCCACCCUGGAACGGGGACACGGUCAAGAUUCCUACGGGAGGAAGCGUUGGGGAAUAUUGCACAAUGGGCGCAAGCCUGAUGCGGCCAUGCCGGGUGUAUGAAGAAGGCCUUCGGGUUUUAAGGUACUUUCAGCGGGGAGGCGUUACCCGCAGAGGAAGCACCGGCUAACUCCGUGCCAGCAGCCGCGGUAAUAC